UUGCUGACUUAGCCUAUAUACUUAAAAUUGGAAUAAUACAGAGAUUAGCAUGGCCUCUGCACUAGCAUGACACCAAACUGUAAUGGGAGUUUUGGUUUUCU
rnacentral:snRNA from 1 species